AUUGAACGCUGGCGGCAGGCCUAACACAUGCAAGUCGAACGAGUGGCGGACGGGCGAGCAAUGUCUGGGCAACUGCCUGAUGGAGGGGGACAACUACUGGAAACGGUUGCUAAUACCGCAUACCAUCGGAUGUGCCCAGAUGGGAGUAGCUAGUCGGUGGGGUAAAGGCUCACCAAGGCGACGAUCCCCAGCUGGGCUGAGAGGAUGACCAGCCAAACUGGAACUGAGACACGGUCCAGACUCCUACGGGAGGCAGCAGUGGGGAAUAUUGCGCAAUGGGCGAAAGCCUGAUGCAGCCAUGCCGCGUGUGUGAAGAAGGCCUUCGGGUUGUAAAGUACUUUCAGCGGGGAGGCGUUACCCGCAGAAGAAGCACCGGCUAACCCCGUGCCAGCAGCCGCGGUAAUAC
rnacentral:rRNA from 1 species